AGUCGUGACACAGUAAUUCUGUUCACUGUUAUGUUUGCAGUGACUUACUUAUCAUGUAGACAAUUUUUACCAAUAAAUUGUCAAGAUGCAGUCAUAUGGUCAGCAGCAGGACAACAAACUCUGAAUGUAAGAAGGAGAAAUAAAUUUAAUUUCACUCCCUCCAAUGUGAUAAGAGUUCAUUUCAGAUAUCAAAUCAUCAUGGAAAAUGUGGACAUUUUUGUAUCGUGAACUGACAGGAAAAGAUUAAAAGUUAUUCAUACAGCUAA